rnacentral:rRNA from 1 species
AACGCGAAGAACCUUACCGGGGUUUGAACAGUACGGGACAGCUGCAGAGAUGUAGUUUUCCUUCGGGACCCGUAUAGAGGUGCUGCAUGGCUGUCGUCAGCUCGUGUCGUGAGAUGUUGGGUUAAGUCCCGCAACGAGCGCAACCCUUGCCUCCUGUUGCCAACAGGUAAAGCUGGGCACUCUGGAGAGACUGCCGGUGAUAAACCGGAGGAAGGUGGGGAUGACGUCAAGUCCUCAUGGCCUUUAUGCCCCGGGCUACACACGUGCUACAAUGGCUGGUACAAAGGGUUGCAAAACCGCGAGGUGGAGCUAAUCCCAAAAAACCAGUCCCAGUUCGGAUUGGAGUCUGCAACUCGACUCCAUGAAGUUGGAAUCGCUAGUAAUCGCGGAUCAGCACGCCGCGGUGAAUACGUUCCCGGGCCUUGUA